rnacentral:lncRNA from 1 species
AUGUCCAUGUCACUAUGUGUUCCUCUUCUCUGUGUUGAUUUUUUUUCUACAAUGUUUUUGUUACAGUUCAAUCAUCCUUUUUGCUGUCAUCUAUGUUUCUUCUAUGUUGUCUUCUUCUUUGUCUUGAUCUUGAUCUCUGUCUCCAUUUUCUUCUUCUUUCUCCUCCUCCUCCUCCUCCUCUUCUUCUUCUUCUUCUUCUUCUUCUUCUUCUUCUUCUUCUUCUUCUUCUUCUUCUUCUUCUUCUGCUUCUUCUUCUGCUUCUGCUUCUGCUUCUUCUGCUUCUUCUGCUUCUUCUGCUUCUGCUUCUUCUGCUUCUUCUGCUUCUGCUUCUUCUGCUUCUUCUUCUGCUUCUUCUAUCUUUUUGACCGCAACCAGGUUGUCUGAAGUAAUCUUUUCUUCUGUUACUGCUGCUUUUUUCACAAGCAAGCAAUGCAGCCAUGUUGCUUUCUCUAAUACAUGAAUAGCUGACAGUGUUGUCAAAAUAAUAUGGAAAGGUCCUACCCAUAAUGGCUGUGUUGCACUAGUUCUAUUAAAGUUUUUUUAUGUAAAGAGAAUUCUCAGGUUUUAUUGAAUGGAAUGCAUAAUCUAAAGGACCCCCUUGAGUUAAAUAUCGCAUUUCUUGUAAUUCUCUAACCCUGUUUUAUAAUUCUGUGAUAUAUUCAGCAAGUGCAAGAUCCCCUCCAAGCAUAUAUACAUAAGCUGUUUUAAAACUUUUUGCUUGCAAUGGUGAAUGUCCAAAUAACAUUUCAUAUGGUGAGAUAUGCAUAACUCCUCUUGGUCUAGUGAGCAGAUAGAAUAGCACUAGAGGCAAAAUCUCUGUCCACUGCAAAUGAGUUUCCAUGCUUAAUUUCUCAACCAUAGUUUUGAUUUCUCUGUUUUGUCUCUCCACCUGCCCAGAACUUUGGGAGUAAUAUGGGACAUGAAAUUUUGGUGUGAUACCCAGAUUCUCAUAAACUUGUUUUAGAAUCUGUAAAAUGGCUCCCUUUGUCAGAAUCUAUUCUUAGUGGUAUACCAUAUCUUGGAAUGAUCUCUUUCAACAAAAUUUUGGCUAUAAAGCUUGAUGUGUUUUUAUUAGAUGGAAAAGCUUCUGGCCAUCUAGGAGUUGGUCCACUAUUACUAAACAAAAUUUAAAUUGUCCUGAUUUGGGUAUGUUGAUAUAAUUUAUUUGCAAAUGCUCAAAUGUUAUGUGAGUUAGUGGAUGACCACCAAAAGCCUUAUGCUUUAAAUAUGCUUUGGUUAAGUUGUGCACACACAGAGCAAACUGAGCAGAUCUUAUUUUCCAAAGUGCUAAUUCCCAGAGCUUACCAAGUUCUUUUAACAGUAUCAAUUAAUGCUUGUGUCCCAAAAUGACCCUUUUUGUGUAUUGCUUGGCAGAUGUAAAAGUAAAAUGCCUUUGGAAGAAUUGGUUUUCCCACUGAUACUAUCUAAAUCCCAUUUUCUUUUCUACCUCCAAAAUUUUUCUCCCACUUCUGAAUCUCUUUGUUAUUGUAUGGUUUUUGUAAAUCUAUGGUAUCUAUAACAGAGAGAUUCAUAAUGCAAACUGUAGCAUUUUGCACAGCAUAUCGUGCAGCCAUAUCCACCAUACAAUUUCCUCUGGCAACUAAGUCUCAUCCUAAAGAUGAGACCCUUUGCAGUGAAUCACUGCCAACUCUUUUCAUAGUUGGAGAGAUGACAAUAAUUCUCGAAUUAUUUCUGCUUGAACGAUUCUUUUCCCACUAGAUGUUAAAAAUCCUCUCUGAAGCCAGAGAGAACCAACAGCAUGACAAAUUCCAAAUGCAUAUUUGGAAUCAGUAUAAAUAGUUGCAUGUUUGUCUCUUGGAAGCUCACUUGCAUGUUUUAAAGUGAUUAAUUCUGCUCGCUUAGCAUUUAGGUUCCUUUGUAGUGAAGCAAACCAUAGGAUCUCAAAUUCACUUACUACCACAGCACCUUUAAAUCUUAUUCCAUUCUGCAUAUAUGAUGAUCCAUCUGUGAAUAAGACCAGGUCAGGGUUGUCAAGAGGUGUGUCUGACAGAUUUUUUCGAGGAAUUUCUAUUAAUUGCACUACAAUUUCACAAUCAUGCAAUGGUCCCCCCUGUGUUGGUAAAUCAAGUAAUAACAUAGCUGGAUUUAAGGUAUUGCAUCUCUUUAAUAUUAUAUGUUCAUUCCUCAAAAGCACUAUGUCAUAUUUAGCCAGGCACUGAUCUGAAAAUGCCUGCGUUCUGAAUUUUCAGAGAAAUACCUCAACUUCAUGUGAACAAUAAACUGUCAGUGGGCAGUCUAACA